GGAGUAGUAGAAACUAGAGUAAAGGAGCACAAAGCCAAGAAAAUACUGGACAAGGUGGCCAAGGAUUGGAAACCCCAUAAACAGAAGGAAUUGAAAAAUUUCCUUGCUGUAAUAAGGUGAUGUCAUGGUAGUAGUAGAAACUAGAGUAAAGGAGCACAAAGCCAAGAAAAUACUAGACAAGGUGGCCAAGGAUUGGAAGGUGCAAUGCAAUUAUUCUAAGGCUACUAAUGGAAGAAUCUGGUUACUGUGGAAGUCUUACAUUCAAGUACAUAUCUCUUCUAUUACAGAUCAACUUAUUCACUGUUUUAUUGAUGACACAAGAACACAAAUCAAAAUCCAGUUUAG
rnacentral:lncRNA from 1 species